CACGUCCUUCUCAAAAGAACCCUCGGGCACUUCAUUUCACACUGGUUCUUCUUCAACCACAACUUGUUUUCCUUUUAUUCUAGCAAGAGCCUCAACAUUGUUAUCCUUCGGAACCUGUGGUGCAAAUAAACGCCCACUUCUCGUAAAUCCUCCGGGUCCUCCCACAUUACCCACAGCAGAACCAACUGUUACUGGAGUCUUAUUUGACGAACCAAUCGUCACUGGAGUUUGAUUUACUGAUCUG
rnacentral:lncRNA from 1 species